AUUGAACGCUGGCGGCAGGCCUAACACAUGCAAGUCGAACGAGUGGCGGACGGGUGAGUAAUGUCUGGGAAACUGCCUGACGGAGGGGGCUAACUACUGGAAACGGUAGCUAAUACCGCAUACCAUCGGAUGUUCCCAGAUGGGAUUAGCUAGUAGGUGUGGUAAAGGCUCACCUAGGCGACGAUCCCUAGCUGGUCUGAGAGGAUGACCAGCCACACUGGAACUGAGACACGGUCCAGACUCCUACGGGAGGCAGCAGUGGGGAAUAUUGCACAAUGGGCGAAAGCCUGAUGCAGCAAUGCCGCGUGUAUGAAGAAGGCCUUCGGGUUGUAAAGUACUUUCAGCGGGGAGGCGUUACCCGCAGAAGAAGCAACGGCUAACUCCGUGCCAGCCGCCGCGGUAAUAC
rnacentral:rRNA from 1 species